AGGAUUGGAAUUCACCCAUCCUUUGUGACAGGAAGACUCAGCAGUUUUUCCAUGUCUAUGGUUAUACAAGCUUUUCUCUGUGCCCUUUCACUUGUUGCUUGCCGCUUCAGAUGCGCAAAGAAUGCUUUUCACAAAGGUGCUGCUUCAGUUCGAUGACUGGAGAAGUAAACAGGUCCUUGGGUCAACAAAUCACUUGAAUUUAUAUCAUGUGACUUCUAUUUUGUUUUUACUGGUUUGCAAACUAAUAAAUUUCAGUAUCACAAAACCGUCUUAUGGUCCCAUCACCUACAGAACUGUGCUCUUUAUUUUUUCCUGUCACACAGUGGAGAAAAAUAAAAAAGAGGGCAGGGAUUUGGAGGGUACUUUCACGUCUGAAGGAUAGGUAUUGUAACCUGUCACAUUUUGUUUCUAAUUAUUCUAAAGUCAAAUGAAUCAAAAAUAACAUUCCAGGUUCUCCAUUUAUGGUGCUCCAAAAUCACUACAGUAGCAUGGCAAGACUAUUUACAAUGUUUAGAUGGUUACUUCUUUAUGUUUCUAGGUUUAGGUUA